rnacentral:rRNA from 1 species
UACGAAGGGGGCUAGCGUUAAUCGGAAUUACUGGGCGUAAAGCGCACGUAGGCGGCUUUGUAAGUUAGAGGUGAAAGCCCGGGGCUCAACUCCGGAACUGCCUUUAAGACUGCAUCGCUUGAAUCCAGGAGAGGUGAGUGGAAUUCCGAGUGUAGAGGUGAAAUUCGUAGAUAUUCGGAAGAACACCAGUGGCGAAGGCGGCUCACUGGACUGGUAUUGACGCUGAGGUGCGAAAAGCGUGGGGAGCAAACAGG